AGCUUUGCGCAGUGUCAGUAUCGUAGCCAAUGAGGUUUAUCUGAGGCGCGAUUAUUGCUAAUUGAAAAGGUAAAUAUAUUUCAAUCUUUGAAUCUCCAACUUACAAAGCAAUGAUUACCUUCUACUAAAAAAAAAAUAAACAUGCAAGAUUUUGAAUACUUCUGAUACUUUUGUAA
rnacentral:snRNA from 1 species